rnacentral:lncRNA from 12 species
GGGACCACAGGGAACUACAGCUGCUGUGCUGUGGGUGGUGGGAGAGAGCGAGAUGGGGUUUUUUUCAGCUCCUUUUCAGACAGCUGGAGUGUGAGAAGUUGGAAAAUGGAUGCAGAGAGCAGAGUCUGUGCUCAGCUGGAGCCUGUGCAGAGCCAGGAAGACGUGAAUUGCACACAAUUCUCAGAACAGUUUGUAAAAAAGUGCUCACCAGAUAUAUCUUUGCAAUAUUCACAGUAUUUCUUAACAGGCAAGGAAAUGAUCAUUUCUAACCGAUGCACUAUGACAGCUGCACCAGAGAAGAGUGAGUGGUAAUUUUUUUAAGACAGAUCCUGAGCUCUUUUAGGAUAUUCUUCAUUGCUAAAACACACCUCAUCAUUUACAGGCGCUUUAAUAUAGUGCUGAACAAAUAAUUAAUUUUAUUUUCCACCUGAUAGACGUAGAGGGGGUGAAAAAAGGUCUAAAUAAAAACUUUCAAAAUAUUUGGUGAGCCUAAAUAAUU